rnacentral:lncRNA from 1 species
UCAUGUGCUCGUACGGCCACCCACGUGCUCCACCCGCUCCUGCAAGUUUGGAUCCCCCGGGUGCGGGCCGGCAGAGGGGCUUGCUGGACGUGUGGCCUGCUGGUUGGCGUCUCUGCCUGUCUGUCUGUCUGUCUGUCUGUCUGUGUGAUGUCGUGGGGGGGGUGGCGGGGGAACCCCAGGGCAAUGUGGAGAGGGGUGGGAAGGGAUGUGUGUGCCUGUGUUACGGUAGGUCAACACAUCCAGAUGGGUGUGGAACCCUACAUGCGUCUGUGAUGUGUAGUUGUGUGCGUGGAAACACGUGUGUGCCGACUCCGUGCUGUCAGGAAGAAGUUCAGGCGCGGUGCUGAGCGCGGAGGUGCUGACCCGUGAGGUCAGGACAACAGGUUGUGGUCGGUAGCGGCUUGGCAGCCACGGAAAGGUUUUAGGCACGCAGAGACGAGGAGGUGGGGCCGACAAAUUCCUAGAAGCUAGUAGCAGGUGCGGGCAGCAUCGUUGUUGUCGGUAGGUACCGUCUUGUGGGCUGUGUACACUGAAGAGGCUUAAAGGGAAAACAAUUGCAGAAACGUACGAAAGGGAUGGUGGAGAAAGAAAAAUCGCUGGUUAAAGCGACGAGGUGCAAGGUAGUUUUGAAGCAGCGGAGGCGGUGGUGGCGGCGGCUGCUACGAGAGCACGUCACGGUAUUUUGGUGUGUGUUGCAGUCAUCGCCGCCAUCGUCGAAACAGGUAGCACAGAUCGGCAUCGUCAUAACCGUUAUGGCCAGAGCUGUUGGUCCCAGAGGUGCAACCAGCUAGGCGAGAGCAUGUAGAUGAGUCCCUCCGUAGAUGAGUCCCUUUGGUGGUGUCGGGGGUCAGCCCUUUGGUAGUUAGUCUCUGGCAGAGCCGCGCAGCACUACCCGGCGGGAAAAAGGACGCCAGGACGCCUAUCCGGAGAGCAUUCCGUGGCUCUGUCAGUCCGAUGUUACGUCUUUCAGUUUCUGUCGGCAGGUUCCUCAGGGCUCAGGGCUCAGGGGUCUCAACGAGGGAGGCCUGCUGCCUGCAUGCUGAUGCUUUUCAGAGGAGGGAGAGGAGGUACGGCGACUUUUGUUUUUUUGCAUCGCCAAAAGCAACGCCGCAGCCCACUUGUGCUUUUUCCCUCAGGCACACCUAAUACUUGCAGAGUCAUAAUCACGACAUGCGGACAUAAUUAUACAUACGUACGGAGAUGCAUGCAUGUUCACUGCGUGUGAGUGCAUUCGAGCUACCGGGCAGCCGUACAGAUCACCCGUGGCAGCCCCCAUCAGACCAUCUGAGAGCUGGUUUAGACCGGGAAAGGCCCUUCCAUGUAACUAUGCCAGGAAUAUUACCUGCAAGCUUUUUGGCUUGCAGAGAGAGAAACGAGUAACCAGGCAAGCUACGAGUGCCAACAUGUCAAAAGGAAAUCAACGGUCAUCCAAAAUCAGCAGUCAGUUGCCGUCACCAGAACUCCCUCCUCUCUCGCAUGUAUUGAUACGAAACGGCAACUGUGUAAGUUCGCAGUGAACUUGCAGUACAAGCAGGGCAUGCCAUAAUCCUCAGCCUCCACCGAUCAUUCCAACGUACUUCCUACUAUUUCUGCACGAAUCAUUAAUGUAGGUGUAACAGUCCUCCUAUUGAAUGGUCCUUUGUUUAUGAGCGUACCGCCGACAUGCAUACGGCCAUUCGAAAUGCUCUCACGCUCAAAACAAGCAACCACAGUUAUAAAUCUCUUAUAUUUAGGGCGAGCACCAGGUGGUGCAUUCGCUGCAUAGCUGGGAGGUUUGCCAACAACUUGCCGUUUGCGCAGGUGUCAAAGGAGGGCAGCAAAGUCCUCUGCUGCCCUAGGGUUAAUCUGCGAUGUGCGCUGCGCAAUUCCUUAAGAGAAUAAUCACUCGUAAAACCACAACCACAAACACACCUACAACUCAAACUGAAACCAAUACGGCGCAACAAUUCAUGGGGCAGCACUGCUACCUUUAGGGUGUAUUUCCAGUGCGGAUUAAGGCCAGGGAUUAACCCUCUGUCCUCCAUCGAUACUUGCUCAAACGGCUAAGUUGUUGGCAAACUUACCUCGCCUUUUCAACCUUUGGUUCCCUUAUGGAACAAAACUAUGUGGUAAGCUCGUACCAAGGACUUCCGUGCGCUAAUCCCUGGCCUUAAUCCGCACUGGAAAUGCACCCUUACUCACUCCGAAGUCUCCAACACUCCAUGAUGCAAAUAGUUAAGCCGCUUUAUAUCUGACACGACACAACCACGUCAUUCCUCACCCGCCUACUCCUUGACGGCCGUGAAAGGCCGCCUACUCCAUGACGGCGUGUGGGUGUGUAGAUUUAUGCGUGGGAGUUUGCGGAUCUAUGCCUGUUUGUCCGCGCACUAGGGUCCGGUCUAUGUACAGCAAACGAUGAGAUGAGGCCUCUUUGGCCAGAAGAAAGCCAGCGGCAGGCUGGGGCUUUCUGUGUGCAGGCCCAACGCUUUCCACUUCCCAAGAUGGGCCUCAUGCAGGGUGUCACCUCAGAGCAUCCUUCGCCAGGUCCCCCCAUUCACGCGCAAGAAGGGUACACAAUACAGCCUUUGCGGUGCGGUGUCGUGUCGUCCAGAUAACCGAUACUAACAUAUACUUUACUAUCCUUUCAAUCAGUGCUUUUGCCUGGAUAGGCGUGCCAUCCUGCGAUGAUGCAUUCCCUAACUGAAUUUAAGAGGCUGCAAUAGCCGCCGUGCUGUGGCGCAUGCAGAUGCCGCGGUCUGCCGAGCCUCCCUCGGUCGUGUGCAGGUGCCAGCUCCACCCGGACAGCUUAUGCUCGUUUGCUGAGCUGAGUUCUGUACUUGGUUAUUUCAGUGUAGAUGUACCGUCCCGCUGCAUGCAAGCGCAGGCAAGGGAAGUGGCGACAGAGGUUCGGGACAACAAGGUGAGAGGCCCUAGCUUCGUACGUGCACAAGAGCACAGUUUAGCAUCCUAUGCCGCGAAACGAGAGGCAAUCGGGUCCAAGCAACAGUUUUCUGUGCACGAUAAGACUGUGAGGUCUAUGGUCUCUCAUCCCAAGAAUCGUGCCCGACAUAUCGCUUACUGAAAGCGUCUCGGAGGAAAGCCAAACCGUCGCGCCAGGUCCAUGUACUCUUUACCUACAGACAAAAAGACGACCAAAGGUUGCAACCUGAGAAGCUCUGAGAGCAGGUGCAUUAUACGAAAGCACGCACCUCGCGCCUUACGUCCUGUGGUUCUCUAUGGCAUACCGUCAGAGCAAUUACUGCCAACACAGCGCUUAUGCCCACAAGUACAAAUCGACACGGGCAGACCAUGCUCGUCGCGUUCCAACUGUUAAGGCUGCGGUUGCCCACGGUCGCGGCUGCUAAGGCAAAGACUGUGUAAGUACGCCUUAGCUUGGCUUU